rnacentral:misc_RNA from 1 species
GAAAUGCGAUAAGUAAUGUGAAUUGCAGAAUUCAGUGAAUCAUCGAAUCUUUGAACGCACAUUGCGCCCUUUGGCAUUCCGAAGGGCAUGCCUGUUCGAGCGUCAUUACACCAAUCAAGCCUGGCUUGGUAUUGGGCGACGGGGCGCCGUUUCCACACGCCCCCGCGCCCCAAAGACCCUCCCGGCGGGACGGACCGAAUCUCAGCGUUGUGCAAACCAAAGCCGCUGGCGAGACGGGACGGCCGUGCCGUGAAAACCUCUCCCUCGUAAUGUUGACCUCGGAUCAGGUAGGGAUACCCGCUGAACUUAA